rnacentral:lncRNA from 1 species
CUUUGAGCUCUCUGGAACCCAUUUCUCAUGGAAGAACCACAUUUCCGCACCUCACAGCCACGUUCAAGGAAGCGGCCUGGGUAAAGCAAUGACUCAAGGAUACAACAAGCAGACCACACAAUUAACAAGAUGUGUUGACUCGCAGGAGCAGCUGGGGGAGGGUCUGGAUUCCCACCUGGAAGUUGAUUGUGAUGGUGGAAAUACCAGGCACUUGUCGGGUGCAAUGGUUCAUGCCUGUAAUCCCAGCACUUUGGGAGGUCGAGGUGGGUAGAUCACCUGAGGUCAGGAGUUUGGGACCAGCCUGACCAACAUGGUGAAACCCCAUCUCUACUAAAAAUACAAAAAUUAGCCAGGCAUGGUGACACGCACCUGUAGUCCUAGCUACUCGGGAGGCUGAGGCAGGAGAAUCUCUUGAACCAGGGAGGAGGAGGUUGCAAUGAGCCAAGAUCAUGCCACUGCACUCCAGCCUGGGUGACAGAGGGAGACUGUCCCAAAACAAACAAAAAAUGAAAUGCCAGGCACCAGUUUAGACUCUUGAGGAUAUAAGUUAUGAGCCAAGGAUAAUGAUGUAAAAAGUAGCCUAAAUCCCUUGUGACUCCAUAGAGCCCCUGCCUCAGCCCUGAAUUACCUAACCCCAGACUUCAUGACCUGAGAAAGAAAGAACUUUCUGUUUUGCUUUAGCCAUCAUUGUUUCUGUUCUGUUUUUAGCAGGAGAAUGUGAUUCCUUACUGAUGGAGGGAAUUCAGUUCCUCCAGGUCUGGCAGCCCUGAAGCUUCAUCCCUCAACAUUGCGGCCUAUGCAGCCAGUGCCCCUCCCCCUUUCUCCCACCCGGCUUUCCCAUCUGCAACCAAGCUUGUUGCACACCACGUGCCAGACGUACGGCUGCACAUUCAAAAUAGAAUGAAAAGACACACAGAGGCGAUCCCUGCCCUUUCAGAAGUUACAGCUUACCGAGUUACAGCUUACUGAGUUAUGGAACCCACAAGUAUGUAAUUCUAAACCCUGAUACAUGCUAUGAAGGACAAAUAUAUGGGUGUCUGGUUUAGUCUGGGGAAUGGGAGAGGCAUCACUGAAAAAGUAGCAUUUGAGAUGAGAGUUGAAGGAAGAGUAGAGACCAGCAAGAAAGUGGGAAAGAUAAAGGAUGAGAGUAAGACUCCAGAAAAGGGUGGAAAUGGUGAUUAACUUUGGAAUUUAAUUCAAACACACUUGUUAAAGUAUCAAGGAUAUAAUAGUAAUUGCAAAUGAAUAGCAAUAGAUACUGUCAUAGUCCA